AAUUAAAUGCAUGCCAUUGUUCAUCUAGUUUUGUUUUUCUUUUAUUUCAGUUUUGCAUUAUAGCUAUUCCUGAGGAAGUGAAUCCCUAAGGUAAUCUGAGGAUCACAUGCACCUGCAUCAGAAUUACCUGCAAUUGCUUGGGCUGACAGCGUUUAAGUGGCUGGUGUUAUAUAAUUUACAAUGUGGAAGAAUUUACUGGAUAAUGAGAUUCAAAGUAAUUAUUUGCUCAUUAAAAAAUAUAUAUAUUAAGUUGCAACACUCUGUUGGGUGUUAAAAGUAAAUCCAUGGACCUUGCUUUCUGGGAGCUUACAAUUUAUAAGAGAUGAGAUACGUCUAAAUAAGAUCAAAACUCGUGAUUUAAAUAGCAUGUGACUGAUUUCAUAGUCAUACAAAAGCAGGAAGAUUAUUUCUAGUUUUAUUGAUCACUGAAGAUUUGAUGGAAGUGGUGGCUGGCCAUUGGGAAUUGAGUAAAAUGUACAUAACAUAGAGAAAGAGAAAACUCCUGCCAAAGAUUGAACUGUGACAACAAAUGUAUGGCAUUGUAAAGGAGACACUUUAAUGAGAUUUAACUGGCAACAAAUUGAAGACUGUAUUAGUAAAGGUGGGUUGUAAAUACAACUGUUGUGUUAAGGAAGAAGCAGCAGGAAUAGAAGUGAAGGAUUGGGUUAGCCUCUACACUAGAAUUAGAAUUCACCACAGAAUGGACACAGUUGUUGACAGAGAAGGUGGAGUUAAAGCAACAAAUUCAAUCCCAAAUAUCUGGGAGUGAUGAUUGUAUGAUAAACAGAAAUACAUAAUCAGGAAAGACCUAUAUGGGUCUUUAUGAAAAAGAUGAGUCCAAAUAUACCAAAUUCCCACAGGAAGAACAUCUUGAAAACAGGAGUAAGGAAGUAAAGAUUCUGAGAGUUCUGAGAUGAAGAGGAAGAAAUGCAAUAGAGUUUUUAGCAGAUGAAUUCAAUCUUGUUGAUAAGGCUGUGGCAAGAGCAUUUAAGAGUGGGUGGAGACAACAAAGUUAACCCUGGAUCAGUAUUACUGAUUGUUCCUUUAGCCUCAGGUUCCAGUGUAACUGGACAUUUCACUUUUACUGAUCCUGUCUUUAUUUAAAUUUUGAUAUUCUGUCCACCAUGGAUUUUUUUGCAUUAAUUUUGAUGCAUUAAAAAUCUUUCAUUGAAAUGUUUAUCUUCAUUGUUAUGUGUUUUGGCACCUCCUUAAAUGUUUGACCUGAUAAAAAGCAUGAUUUCAUAAUUGGGGAAACAUCUGCAUGGCAUUUUAUACAUAAUAGAUCAGCAUGUUGUGAUGAACACAAAUUCUCAGUGAACUAAAGGUGUAACUGAGAGGUUUCUUUUUCUUUUUAAUUAUGUUAAAAAUGUAUAAUGUAAAAUGUA
rnacentral:lncRNA from 1 species